rnacentral:tRNA from 1 species
GCACGGCUGGGUCGGAUUGUGGGGCGCGGUGCUCGGGCUGCUGUUCGGCGUGACGGGCGUGCUGCUCAACCACCGUGCGCC